GCCUGAGUGGCGAAAUCGGUAGACGCACAGGACUUAAAAUCCUGCGGGAGUCAAAUCCCGUGCCGGUUCAAGUCCGGCCUCAGGCACCA
rnacentral:tRNA from 2 species